rnacentral:rRNA from 1 species
AGCUCCAGAAGCAUAUAUUAACAUUGUUGCGGUUAAAAAGCUCGUAGUCUAACUUAUGACUUCCCGUUUGUGGCCCAGGGUCUAGUACUCUGCGUGCAAGCAAUCGGCAGUCAUCCUUUUAGAUUGCACUUCUGCCCUUGAUUGGGUUGGUUGUGGAAUAUAAAACAUUUACUGUGAGUAAAUCAGAGUGUUCCAAACAGGCUUUCACGCCUUGAAUGCUACAGCAUGGAAUAAUACUAAAAGACUUCGGUUUUCAUUGGCUGAAACCUAAAGUAAUGAUUGAGAGAGAUAGUUGGGGGUGCUGGUAUUUAACGGUCAGCGGUGAAAUGCAUAGACCCGUUAAAGACUGUCAGAUGCGAAAGCUUUCACCAAGGAUAUUUUCUUUGAUCAAGAACGAAAG